GUCUGUAUAGGAUGAUGAGGAAAUCAACCUCUCCAAAGUGGAAUUGUGGGGGGGUCUGGGGCCCCCACCCCCGGUAAUUCCCCCGCCCCAAUCGCAUAUAAAAAUUGUUUCGCUUAAAAAAAUCUCAUUUUAAUUUCUGCUGCAUUGCUGGUGUCCCUCUGGGGUCUGUGCAUGUCGCUCCUUCCGGACCGAUUUUCUUUGGCUGACUGCUUACUUUGAGAAAAUGGGAGUGCUCAAAGCAGGCUUUCCCCUUAAAAAAUUUAACUGGGAAUAAUAAACUAAGACUUUGAUUCCAUUUUGUUGGUUUUACGUACCAAAAUAAUGGUCAAUAGGAACAGUUGGGGGCAAUCGUAUUUAACUGUCAUAGGUGAAAUUCUGGGAUUUGUUAAAUACUAACUACAGGUAAAAUUUUUGCAAUGGAUGUUUUCAUAACUCUAGAACAAAAUUUACGGGAUAUAUUAACAUUAAUCAAGAACGAAAGUUAGGGGAUCGAAGAA
rnacentral:rRNA from 1 species